CCUACGGGUGGCAGCAGUGAGGAAUAUUGGUCAAUGGGCGGGAGCCUGAACCAGCCAAGCCGCGUGAAGGAAGAAGGUACUUAGUAUUGUAAACUUCUUUUGUCGGGGGACAAAGCCGGAGACGCGUCUCCGGCUGAGUGUACCCGACGAAAAAGCAUCGGCUAACUCCGUGCCAGCAGCCGCGGUAAUACGGAGGAUGCGAGCGUUAUCCGGAUUUAUUGGGUUUAAAGGGUGCGCAGGCGGGAGAUAAAGUCAGCGGUAAAAUGUCGGGGCUAAACCCCGGCCGGCCGUUGAAACUGGUGUUCUAGAGUGGGAGAGAGGUAGGCGGAAUUCGUGGUGUAGCGGUGAAAUGCAUAGAGAUCACGAAGAACUCCGAUUGCGAAGGCAGCAUACCGGCUCAAAACUGACGCUGAGGCACGAAAGCGUGGGGAUCGAACAGGAUUAGAUACCCCGGUAGUC
rnacentral:rRNA from 1 species